CCCAUGUUCUCUCUUGGUUUAUAGAACUGAACAUUAGGUUGAUGCUUUGGGCAGUUGCCGCUUAAUUGCUCCCCUAUUGGUUCUGUGAAAGAAUUGAUGCACUGAUGAUCUAGCUUCCAGCGACCUUCAGAUCCCCCCUCUCUCAGUGACUUCCGCAAAAGUUGGUACCAUUCGGAGCAUUGUUAGAAGACGGGUGGAAAGGAUGGAGAGGCGACAGGAGCAAAGGUGUGUCCUGCUGCAGCCAUACAGAAGGGAUGGAAUCGUGGGAUUUUCUACUGGGUCGGAAUGAUCUUUAAGUGGCUGCUGUUGAUCUGUGACAUCAUAAUUACACUUGCACACACAAAGGUCCAUUAAAAGAACAUUACGAAGGUUGUGAAGUCGAGGACUCAAAAGGGCAUCAGGUGAUCAUCUGGUGCAGCAGCAGAUUUCCUCUGUACAAGAGUAUUGCACAAACAGGUGUGCAAUGAAGGUGGCUUCAGAUUCCCUCCCAAACAUCCAGAAAUGGCCACUAUUGGAGACAUGACACUGGAUUAAAUCGGUCAUUGGCCUGUUUCAAUGGCCUGCUCCCAAUGGCCCAACUCUCUCCAGUUCAGGUUCAACCACAGUAAGGGCUGAAGAACACUGAAGAGGUGAUGUGAGUAAGAACCAUAAAGCCGUUAUUAACCUUGCAACAUUUAGGAAAUACGAAGACAGCUAUUUGAAUUUUGGUUUUAUUUGUUCUGGAAGUGGAGAAAUACCUCAACCGCAGUAUGUAAUUAGUGCUAAAGUACUGUCCAAUGAAUGUUUGAAACCCUACAAUUACAAAUUCAUUUAACUACAAAGCACAACAUCUAUAAGGAUAAGCAGCAUUUUUUUUUUCCUUUUUUUCUUUUGUUUUUGAGCGAAAGGCCGAGGAAUGGCUUGGUACUAAAGCAAUAAUGAAAUCCACAACUACUGCAGAUAAGAAGCUUUUAAGGUCAUCUUAUAUAGUGGUGCAGAAAAUUGCUAAAAUAAAAAAAUCACAUACGACUGCUGAGAUUUUGAUAAUGCCAUGUAUUAUUGAAAUAACAAAGGAAGUGUUUGGAGAGGAGAAGGCCAAGGUACUGACAAAAAUACCCAUGUCAAAUGAUGGAUCAUUUCUAUGUCAGAAGACAUACUUUCUCAGUGUAUUGAUCAGCUGUGUGACAAUGGAUUUGCUAUACAGGUAGAUGAAUCCAGAGACAUUUCAAAAAUGUCCCAUUUAUUUGCCUAUGUUCGGUAUGUGUGGAAUAAGGAAAUAAAGGAAGACUUUUUGUUUUGCAAAGAGCUGAAGACCGGAAAGCAUUCUGGUGUUGUGCAAAAAAUAAAAGCCUUUGCACCUCACACUAUUUUGACACAUUGCUUUUUUCACUGAGAUGCGCUUGCUGCAGAAGAUACUGCACCAGGUCUUCGCAGCGGUAAUGCUCAUUAAUUUUAUUAAAUCCAGAGCAACAAACUCCAGGUGUUUUGCUGCACUUUGUGAGGAGGUGGGUACAGAGCAUCAUUUCUUGCUUAUGCAUACAGAGGUGAGGUGGCUAUUUUGAGGAAGAAUGCUUGCCUGUAUAUUUAAUCUCAAGGAAGAGUUAUGUACUUUCUUAGUUGAUAAGAAAAGUGAACUUGCUGAAGUGCUGAAAGCUGAUGUGUGGCUGGCAAAACUGGGUUACCUCACAGACCUAUUCAGUGAAAUGAAUAAUCUGAAUAAAAGUUAGGAACACUAAUUUUAUUGCCCAGCGUGAAAGAAUUGAGGCACUCAAAAGAAAACAACUCUGGAAAGUUCAUGUCUGUGGGGGCACUACUGAUACGUGUGAGCUCUUACAUUCUUUCAUUCAGGAACGAAACAUGGACUUUGACGUAAUUAAACCUCAGCUAGCAGCGCAGCUGCCCGGUCUGCUUAGCAAAUUGAAUGCUUAUUUUCCUGAACUCACAACAGAACAAGCUGCUACAUGCGUGUGCACUACAAACCCCUUGAGUGAGAACACUGAAGCUAAACUUCCAUCUAAUGUCCCAUCAAAACUGUUAGAAGAGCUCAUUGACAUUUCCUCAGACAGCUCCCUCAGAACCAGGUGCAAAGAAAUGCCGCUGGAGACAUUUUGGUGUGAGUGUUCCAGUGAAUACAUCACUGCUUCUUCUGCAGCACUGAAAAGUUUGAUCCCCUUUGGAGCCACCUACUUAUGCGAAACUGGAUUUUCAGCCAUGCCAACAAGGAAAACAAAGUACCGAACCAGAAUGAACAUUGACCGUGACGUGCACUUGUGCUUGUCAAAGAUACCCCCUCGUCUGGACAGAAUUGUUGAUCAGCACCAACAGCAAGUUGCACACUAAGUAAAUAAAAAUAAUAAU